ensembl:rRNA 5S_rRNA 5S ribosomal RNA
GUCAACGGCCAUGCCACUCUGAACAAGCCCAAUCCUGUCUGAUCUUGGAAGCUAUGCAGGAUCGGGCCUGGUUAGUACUUGUAUGAGAAACCGUCUGGGAAUCCCAGGUGCUAUAGGCG